rnacentral:lncRNA from 1 species
GAGUUCUCAUGAGAUCUGAUGGUUUUAUAAGGGGCUUCCCCUUGCCCACUUCACUCUACACGUUUCCUUUCUGCCCUCAUGUGCAGGAUAUGUUUACUUCCCCUUCCACGUGAUUCAGGUUUUGUGGAUUGAAGAGUACAGAUGUGUGCAGCAACAGUUUUGUCAGGCGCAGCAGUUAUAAGUCAUGUUCUGGCUUUGCAUCCUAGAAUUGAUAUCAAGUUUUCAUACAUAUUUGUUCCAUAUGAGACUUCCAAAAAAAUUCAGGAGUGCCAGUUCCAAGGGAGAUGAAGGAGUCCUGUGGGUGAUCAUGUUGACAGGAGGACUAACAAAAAUAUGUGAAAAGAAUCUUGGAUUUUCAGCUGGGAAACCUAGAAGAGAUCAUAGCCAGAGACUAUGCAUCACAUGCUGCCUUUGA